GUCGAGAAUAAUUCACAAUGGGGGAAACCCUGAUGGUGCAACGCCGCGUGGAGGAUGAAGGUCUUCGGAUUGUAAACUCCUGUCAUCUGGGAGUAAGACCUGACGGUGAAUAGCCGGCAGGGUUGAUAGUACCAGAAGAGGAAGGGACGGCUAACUUCGUGCCAGCAGCCGCGGUAAUACGAAGGUCCCAAGCGUUGUUCGGAAUCACUGGGCGUAAAGGGAGCGUAGGCGGCGUGGUAAGUCAGAUGUGAAAUCCCGGGGCUCAACCCCGGAACUGCAGCCGGUACGGCCAUGCUUGAGGGUUGGAGAGGUAGCUGGAAUUCUCGGUGUAGCAGUGAAAUGCGUGGAUAUCGAGAGGAACACUCGUGGCGAAGGCGAGCUACUGGACAACAUCUGACGCUGAGGCUCGAAGGCCAGGGGAGCAAAAGGGAUUAGAAACCCGGGUAGUCC
rnacentral:rRNA from 1 species